GAUGAAGAACGUAGUGAAAUGCGAUACGUAAUGUGAAUUGCAGAAUUCCGUGAAUCAUCGAAUCUUUGAACGCACAUUGCGCCCUCUGGUAUUCCGGGGGGCAUGCCUGUUCGAGCGUCAUUAUAACCACUCAAGCUCUCGCUUGGUAUUGGGGUUCGCGGUUCCGCGGCCCCUAAAAUCAGUGGCGGUGCCUGUCGGCUCUACGCGUAGUAAUACUCCUCGCGUCUGGGUCCGGUAGGUCUACUUGCCAGCAACCCCCAAUUUUUACAGGUUGACCUCGGAUCAGGUAGGGAUACCCGCUGAACUUAAGCAUAUCAAUAAGCGGAGGA
rnacentral:misc_RNA from 1 species